GUGCUCGCUUCGGCAGCACAUAUACUGAAAUUGAAAGGAUACACAGAAGACUAGCAUGGCCACUGCGCAAGGAUGAUACACAAAUUAGUGAAGCAUUCCAUAUUUUG
ensembl:snRNA U6 U6 spliceosomal RNA